ACAAGGUUUCCGUAGGUGAACCUGCGGAAGGAUCAUUACCGAGUGAGGGCCCUCUGGGUCCAACCUCCCACCCGUGUUUAUUUUACCUUGUUGCUUCGGCGGGCCCGCCUUAACUGGCCGCCGGGGGGCUCACGCCCCCGGGCCCGCGCCCGCCGAAGACACCCUCGAACUCUGUCUGAAGAUUGAAGUCUGAGUGAAAAUAUAAAUUAUUUAAAACUUUCAACAACGGAUCUCUUGGUUCCGGCAUCGAUGAAGAACGCAGCGAAAUGCGAUACGUAAUGUGAAUUGCAAAUUCAGUGAAUCAUCGAGUCUUUGAACGCACAUUGCGCCCCCUGGUAUUCCGGGGGGCAUGCCUGUCCGAGCGUCAUUGCUGCCCUCAAGCCCGGCUUGUGUGUUGGGCCCCGUCCUCCGAUUUCCGGGGGACGGGCCCGAAAGGCAGCGGCGGCACCGCGUCCGGUCCUCGAGCGUAUGGGGCUUUGUCACCCGCUCUGUAGGCCCGGCCGGCGCUUGCCGAUCAACCCAAAUUUUUAUCCAGGUUGACCUCGGAUCAGGUAGGAACCCG
rnacentral:rRNA from 1 species